rnacentral:misc_RNA from 1 species
GAUGAAGAACGUAGCGAAAUGCGAUAAGUAAUGUGAAUUGCAGAAUUCAGUGAAUCAUCGAAUCUUUGAACGCACAUUGCGCCCGCCAGUAUUCUGGCGGGCAUGCCUGUUCGAGCGUCAUUUCAACCAUCAAGCCCCCGGCUUGUGUUGGGGACCUGCGGCUGCCGCAGGCCCUGAAAAGCAGUGGCGGGCUCGCUGUCACACCGAGCGUAGUAGCAUACAUCUCGCUCUGGGCGUGCUGCGGGUUCCGGCCGUUAAACCACCUUCAUAACCCAAGGUUGACCUCGGAUCAGGUAGGAAGACCCGCUGAACUUAAGCAUAUCAAUAAGCCGGAGGA